rnacentral:rRNA from 1 species
UACGAAGGGGGCUAGCGUUGCUCGGAAUCACUGGGCGUAAAGCGCACGUAGGCGGACUCUUAAGUCGGUGGUGAAAUCCUGGAGCUCAACUCCAGAACUGCCUUCGAUACUGGGAGUCUCGAGUCCGGGAGAGGUGAGUGGAACUGCGAGUGUAGAGGUGAAAUUCGUAGAUAUUCGCAAGAACACCAGUGGCGAAGGCGGCUCACUGGCCCAUUACUGACGCUGAGGCACGAAAGCGUGGGGAGCAAACAGG